AAGAAUAUAAAAGACCUCAAGAAUUGUAUGAUGAUGGUUACGCCUCGGGUUAAUGCCGAAAUUUGGGCAGAAGUUCAACCGAAUCACCGUUCUUCUGAUAUAAAGUUUCAGAAAAUUCAAGAUCGAUUAACUAAGGGACUGGUACCUUUAACGACACUUGUUAACGACUUGAAUAUCAUGAGAAAAUCACCUAAUCUUCAGUUUGAUUCUGAGGAAAUGGGAAAAAUGAUUCGGAAGUUGUGUGAUAGUCUGGCUUUUUUAGCAGCAGCCCAUUUUGAAAUUUCAAUGAAGAGACGUGAAAAUUUAAAAUCAAGUAACCUCAACAACAAAAUCAUGUCUAGACUUUGUUCGGUCUCUAACAGAGUCACUCAGAAUCUUUUUGGAGAUGAUCUUCCGAAGUCGAUCAAGGAUAUCAGUGAAGUCAGUCGUGUUGGCCAAAAUGUUCAACCACGAAGAUUACCAUUUAAUGCUAGACGUCCUUUUCCUUAUCAAAGAUCUUAUAAUAGUCAACAGAUUAAUUAUAAGAAUUCUUAUAAGAAUCCUGCUAGUACUGGAACCAGUCACAGAUAUGGCUCAAGUGGUCAGAUGUCAAAAAACUUCUAUCCAGGGAGGGGACGAAGUCGGAAGAAACCAAACUAACACAGGAAUCGGAAGAGCAGAAUGUUUCUCAAGCAGUUGAAAAACUAGAAAAUAAAGAGAAAGAACAACUUUGACUCAUCCAACCAAAAGUUUUAUGGUUCAUCUACCCAAACUCAGACUGCUGGCAUGUUUGAUUUCAGGCAAGCAACACGAAAGCGAGAAUUUUUGGAUGAG